CCCUUAGAUGUUCUGGGCUGCACGCGCGCUACACUGAUGCGUUCAACGAGUUUAUGACCUUGCCCGAUAGGGUUGGGUAAUCUUUUUAAAUCGCAUCGUGAUGGGGAUAGAUUAUUGCAAUUAUUAAUCUUCAACGAGGAAUUCCUAGUAAGCGCGAGUCAUCAGCUUGCAUUGAUUACGUCCCUGCCCUGUAUACACACCGCCCGUCGCACCUACCGAUUGAAUGGUCCGGUGAAAUCUCGGGACGGCGGCUUGGUCGCUUGCGUCCGACUGCUGAAACUUGAUUAAACCAUAUCAUUUAGAGGAAGGUGAANUCGUANCA
rnacentral:rRNA from 1 species